rnacentral:lncRNA from 1 species
UAGCUGCUGCAGCGAAUGUUUGCCUCCUCACCAAAAGCAUCUUGUAUUCCUUCACAUCUUUCUUCCAAUAAGGUACCCUCUCAGACGAGGCAGCUCUUUCACAUUUCUGACUCCAGGAUCGCACUGGGACUUCACUCUGAAGAGGAAGCGCCGAGAGAAAGACGAUGAUGUAGCCAGUCUUUGCAGCCUUGACUUUAAGGUAAGCAAAACCCAUUGCUCUACAAUAUUGUGCAAUCAUCUGCUUCGACUACGGUGGCUUCUAC